rnacentral:rRNA from 1 species
UACGUAGGGGGCUAGCGUUGUCCGGAAUCAUUGGGCGUAAAGCGCGCGUAGGUGGCCCAGUAAGUCCGUUGUGAAAGUCAAAGGCUCAACCUUUGAAUGCCGAUGGAUACUGGCAAGCUAGAGUGCGGUAGAGGGUAGUGGAAUUCCCGGUGUAGCGGUGAAAUGCGUAGAGAUCGGGAGGAACACCAGUGGCGAAGGCGGCUACCUGGACCAGCACUGACACUGAGGCACGAAAGCGUGGGGAGCAAACAGG